GGGCCUUUAGCUCAAUGGUUAGAGCAGAGCACUCAUAAUGCUUUGGUUGUUGGUUCGAGUCCGACAAGGCCCACCA
rnacentral:tRNA from 1 species